GCCGGAGUGGUGAAACUGGUAGACGCACGGGACUCAAAAUCCCGCGGGCUUUGGUCCAUGUCGGUUCGAGUCCGACCUCCGGCA
rnacentral:tRNA from 1 species